ACCUUUCCCUCUCUCAGUGACCAAGAUCACUCACUUCACUUUGUGUGAAGAGGGGAGCAGGAGGUUUGUGUGUGAAGUAUCGGCGAGAGUGCAGGAGGGUGUGGGAAAGAGAUGGAAGGACGCCUAAUAUGAAGACAAUUCCAGUGCGUCGUGACAAUUUGUCAAAGGGGGGUUUUCUGCUUGGGGAAAUUCGACAAGGAGUUGUUGGGAAUAAACAAACACUGUAAAUGAACAGGACGUCAGAACAGAACCAAUGGGAACAAUCUGUCGUCAUUGCUGACAUGUCGGAGAUGUUUCACUGGAGAAUCGACUGAAAAAAUUCGGAGGACAAAGUCUUUUGGUCUUCUCACAGUAUCUGAGCUUGCACUUUGAUUUGUCAGUUUUAUUUCUACUUCGGAUAUCUGAGUGUGAUCAGCAGAGUGAACUAAAGUGUGGACAAACACGCACACAAAAAACACACACAGACAGAGACAUGAGCGGGGACAACUCCACCAGCCUUGGCUCCGUGCUCUACGCUGAGCCAUGCAACGGCUUCACCAACAACACGGAGGGCGCCCUCUACCAGCUGGGCAACACAGUGCUCAUCCUGGGCUACAUGGGGGGCAGCACUGCAUACGGCGCCCUCUACAUCUUCAGCCUGCUGGUGCCGGCGCAUGUCUGCCUUUCACUCUGGGGCUUCCUGACCGUCUGUGGCCUGGACGUGUUUGUGUGGAACAUCCUGCUGGUGGUGGCGUGCCUCUGCCAGAUCAUCCACUUGGUGGUGCGGCUACUGCGCGACGGCCUGGGCAGAGAGGAGCUGGCGGCGCUCUACCAGACCGUGUACAUGCCGCUCGGUGUGCCCGUGCAGGUGUUUAAGGAGAUCACGGCCGCCUGCGAGAACAAAGUGUUGGCGCUGGCUGCCGAGGAGACCUACGCUGUCGAGGGCAAGACGCCCAUCGACCAGCUUUCCUUCCUGCUCACAGGGAGGAUCCGUGUGUCACUAGAAGGUCAGUUCCUGCACUACAUCUUCCCCCACCAGUUUCUGGACUCGCCCGAAUGGGAGUCACUGAGGCCGACUGAGGAGGGGAACUUUCAGGUGACCUUGACGGCGGAGGAGGACUGCCGCUACAUCUCGUGGCGCCGGCGGCGCCUGUACCUGCUGCUGUCGCGGGAGCGCUACGUGGCGCGCCUCUUCUCCGUCAUGCUGGGCAACGACAUCGCCGAUAAGCUCUACUCGCUAAACGACAAGCUCUUCGCCAAGUGCGGCGUGCGCCUUGACAUCCGCCUGCCCAGCCUCUACCACGUCCUCGCCCCCUCCACCCAGUCCAGCGAGGGUGGCGGCGGCAGCACCAGCUCGGCCCCGCCGGCCAGCGGUAGCCUCGGCGACCACGCUGUAGUGACCAUGGACCCCUUGCCCGACACUCAGAAGCCCAAGUUGGAGAGUGGCGCCCCGGCGCAGGGAGGAAGGGCGCCGGGUCCAUCCGCACGGCAGCUGUCCUGCCCAUCAGACACGGAGCUGCCCUCGGGUGAGGACUCCACCAGCCUGGUCCUGGAGGACUUUGCUGACAUUGCUGGCUCGCUAAUGGAUUAUGGGAGUGAAAGGGAUUAUUUGAAGUAGUGGGAGUUCUUUUUUUUGUUUUCUUUUUAUGUUCUUUUUGAGGGGGAGGUUGCUGGAUCUAACACACGAGGCCACUUCUUAGGGCUCAUAGAGAGACACUUCUGCAGUCCCACCCGUGCGCUACCAGAGGGGUCGGGCUCCCCUGGCCCCCACCGACACUCCCAAACUGUGACAGUGGGUUCACCCAGCACAUGGGCCGUACCAUGGCCCAGAUGGAGGCGGGGGGCUAAGUUCCACACAAUGCCCUCCGGUGGUAAUACUCUGUCUCUCUAUUUGCCUUUGCCCGAGUGACGUAGCCUCUUUUUACACUCGGUUUUAAAAUGAGUCUUGGUUGAUCGGAUCUUGGAGGACAGCGUUUAAUACAACUGUAAACAACCACAAGACUUACUGUCAUCUGAUCACUCAAACCACUUGCUAAAGGGACUAAGGACACAUUUGAACACAUAUCUUUUGUAGUAUAAACCCGUAUGUGUCCCUGACAAGGAGACCUCUAGCGGAAGUAAAGUAGUCAGUGAAAAAAUCUAAACACAAAUGGGCUGCCUGACACCUAGUCAUGGACACAGAUGUAAAUAGCGAUGGCUCUUAGUUGUCCACUUGUGAUCUGAUUACCCAAGAUGCAUUUUGACAGUGUAAACAGGGUCUUAUGUUCUGCUCCAAUAUUCUUUUUUGUCUGUCAUUCUAUGCUUUCCCCCAUUUCUGUCUCUCUUUUGCAAAGUUUCAGUCCAUGAUUCUAAUCUAAAACACUGUAAACUUCAGAAAAUGCACACCUCAUAAUCCUCCAGCUGUUUUGUUAUUUGUUUGUGCUCAAAAACAAACAAACAACUGGUGUCUAUGCACAGUCCAGAAAAAAAAUUGAACCAUUCCAGCCAAUCAACAGAAGUUAGGAGGUGUAAUUUGAUUGGCUGUUGAGCUCAAAUAUGUACAACCUUUCGUUGGAAUCGUGGACUGUUCCUUUAACUUGUUUUAUUUCUCUCUAUUCUUUUUCUCACUACUCCCUGAGAGGGAACUUUGGGUACCAAACCUCAAGACAAUGAUUAUGAAAGAAUCAUAAAGCCAUGGUAUGGUACAGGAUUUAUUCUGACGAUGACAAUUAAGACACAGACACAUACUUUCACUCUGUCUUCCUCACGUCAUUUAGACAUUUUGUUUUGUCUUUAGAUGUUAUGUUAAUAUGCAUAUGAUGAUUCCACAUUACUAAGUUCACACGUUUUAUGCUUGAAUGACAUAAGGAAUGGGAAGGGUUUGCUUGAUGUAAAUUGUGUCUAAACAAAUUAUGGAAUUAAGGGACUGUGAAUCACUUAGUAAAAACACAUUUGUUUUUGCAACA